UUCCAGACAAUCUACUCGUAUGGAGGAAUCCAGGCUAAAAUGAGAGACAUAGCAGGAGCUGGAGUGGGAGUUUGAAGACCUGCAUGCAGGAGUAAAACACCAAAGAAUAGAUGACAGCACUGCUUCUACAUACUCCAAACCUGCGUGCCUCCACUGCCGACUAAGGCUGCAGGUCCAUAAGCCCUCUACAGAUGCACCCAGCUAGGCCCAGAGGACUAAAAACAAAACCUUGCGCGUCAACCGGUCCCUGCCUCUCCGUCUCCUCCCAACCAACGCAUCUGAACCCGGCGUCACAAAGCGACACGGUGGCAGGAGACCAACUUGUGGCACUGCUCGUCUGGGAAGAUAAUGAGUUCCCACAGGCCGGAGAUAGGGCACGGAGUGUGCGCCGAAGACGCAUGCAUGUGUGUCUUUGUCUUUGUUAUUUAAGUACAGAGAGGCUCUGGUUGAAAAGAGACGAGGGGGAAAUUCUUUAAACUUUCAGCUUGAAAUGGGCCCAGUUUGGUCAACCCCCAGCAGGCUGGGCUGUAAUGAGGACUGCUUCUGCUCCCUCUGUCAGUUUCUUCUUUCUCUUUCUGUCUCUGCUCUCCACACUUGAUGGUACGGACAACAGAUCACUCCCAGGAGAACCGGCCCUAAAACAUUAUCCAUCAUGUUGACAGCUCAAGAGUCUUAAAGUGAAGAAAAUAUAAUGUACCACUCAUAGAUAAACCCCUCCUUCAAGUCCCCCUUUUUCUCCCCAUUCCUUCCUUCGAUCGUAACCUUUUCUUUUACUUUUGGUAACGAAGCAGAUAUUGAAGAAGAGGUUGAAGCUUUAUUGUUGAAAGGAUGCAAGUUCAAUACCUGAUAUUAAAAAAAAUAACCAAAAGAACCCUGAAGUUUUCAUGAUGGAUCUUAAAUUGAUAACUGCCGGAUAUUGGAGGGUCACCACUUUCGCGAACACUUAUCAAGGAAUGCGGCAAUACAAUCUGGCGGGGAAAUUGCCGGCAGUUUGUCAUCCCGCCUGUAUAUGUCCUUGUAAAAAUAAGAGCGCACACUUUUAAGUGUUGAUGAGAGGGAUGGGGUGAGGUAGAAAUGAAGGAAUGAAGGGAAGAGGGCUUGAGGGGCAAAAGGAGUGUGAGAAAAGCCGCUCCUGCUAUAACUUUGAUUUGCGGCUAUAAGGGAGAUCAAAUGAAGCAUCUCAUUAAGAUCCACUUAACUUUGUAAUGACGGCAGUUAAAACGAUUAGAUAUUCAGUUUGAUCAAAAUAAAUAUUCUUGUUGAUG